AUGAGGCUGCUAGGUCUUCUCCUAUGCCUGGUGACACACCCCCAAGGUGUUCUAUCCCAGAUUCAGCUGCAGGAGUCGGGCCCAGGACUGGUGAAGCCCCCACAGACCCUCUCCCUCACCUGCACAGUCUAUGGAUUCUCCAUCACAACCAGUAGUUAUGACUGGAGCUGGAUCCGCCAGCCCCCAGGGAAGGGGCUGGAAUGGAUGGGGUGCAUAAAUCAUAACGGAGACACUAAGUACAGCCCCUUCCUCAAGAGCCGAACCUCCAUCUCCAGAGACACGUCCAAGAACCAGUUCUCCCUGCAGCUGAGCUCCGUGACCACUGAGGACACGGCCAUGUAUUACUGUGGGAAAUAG